UUUAAGUCUAAUCUGCUCACUGAAAUUUUUAAAGAGCCGCAGUAUUUUGACUGUGCAAAGGUAGCAUAAUCAAUAGUUUUUUAAUUGAAAACUGGAAUGAAUGAUUGAAUGAUAUAUUUACUUUCUUAAUUUAAAUAAUUGAAUUUAAAUUUUAAGUUAAAAUUCUUAAAUAAAAUUAAAAGACGAGAAGACCCUAUAGAUUUUUAUUAAUAUAUUUAAUUAAUUAAAAUUUAAAAUAAAAUAAUUAAUUUAAUUGGGGUGAUGUUGUAAAAUAAUUAACUUAAUUUUUUAAAAACAUAAAUAAUUGAAUAUGUUGAUCUAUAAAUUAUAAAUAAAAGAUUAAAUUACCUUAGGGAUAACAGCGUUAUAUUAUUUAAGAGAUCAUAUCUAUAAUAAAGAUUGCGACCUCGAUGUUGAAUUAAGAAAUAUUUAGGAGUAGAAAUNUAAAAUUAUUAGUCUGUUCGACUAUUAAAUUCU
rnacentral:rRNA from 1 species